UGGUGGAGUGAUUUGUCUGGUUAAUUCCGUUAACGAACGAGACCUCGACCUGCUAAUUAGUUCGCCGAACCCUGGUUCGUCGUGUGACUUCUUAGAGGGACUAUCGGUGCGUAGCCGAUGGAGGUUCGAGGCAAUAACA
rnacentral:rRNA from 1 species